rnacentral:rRNA from 1 species
GAUGAACGCUAGCGGCGUGCCUUAUGCAUGCAAGUCGAACGGUCUUAAGCAAUUAAGAUAGUGGCGAACGGGUGAGUAACGCGUAAGUAACCUACCUCUAAGUGGGGGAUAGCUUCGGGAAACUGAAGGUAAUACCGCAUGUGGUGGGCCGACAUAUGUUGGUUCACUAAAGCCGUAAGGCGCUUGGUGAGGGGCUUGCGUCCGAUUAGCUAGUUGGUGGGGUAAUGGCCUACCAAGGCUUCGAUCGGUAGCUGGUCUGAGAGGAUGAUCAGCCACACUGGGACUGAGACACGGCCCAGACUCCUACGGGAGGCAGCAGCAAGGAAUCUUGGGCAAUGGGCGAAAGCCUGACCCAGCAACGCCGCGUGAGGGAUGAAGGCUUUCGGGUUGUAAACCUCUUUUCACAGGGAAGAAUAAUGACGGUACCUGUGGAAUAAGCUUCGGCUAACUACGU